rnacentral:tRNA from 1 species
GGCGAAAGGAGUUCGAUACGGUUGAACAAUAGAUUGUGAUUCUACAAGUUGCGGGUUCGAGUCCCGUUUUUCGCC